rnacentral:rRNA from 1 species
AUUGAACGCUGGCGGCAUGCCUUACACAUGCAAGUCGAACGGUAACAGGUCUUCGUAUGCUGACGAGUGGCGAACGGGUGAGUAAUACAUCGGAACGUGCCUAGUAGUGGGGGAUAACUACUCGAAAGAGUGGCUAAUACCGCAUGAGAUCUACGGAUGAAAGCAGGGGAUCGCAAGACCUUGUGCUACUAGAGCGGCCGAUGGCAGAUUAGGUAGUUGGUGGGAUAAAAGCUUACCAAGCAGACGAUCUGUAGCUGGUCUGAGAGGACGAUCAGCCACACUGGGACUGAGACACGGCCCAGACUCCUACGGGAGGCAGCAGUGGGGAAUUUUGGACAAUGGGCGCAAGCCUGAUCCAGCAAUGCCGCGUGCAGGAUGAAGGCCUUCGGGUUGUAAACUGCUUUUGUACGGAACGAAAAGCCCUGGGUUAAUACCCUGGGGUCAUGACGGUACCGUAAGAAUAAGCACCGGCUAACUACGUGCCAGCAGCCACCGUAAAAC